UGUCUUCACUGUGAGUAAGGUGAAAGCCCGUGUGACCGAUCAGGUGAAUGACAGCUGCAUCCAAUCAGAUCAUGUGAUGUGGUUAGCAGAUGUUUUAAAAUACCUACUGUGUUCAGGCAUCGUGAGAGCUGGAAUGCGUCUGCUAUGAAGUAAAACCGGAUGUUUUUGGAAAAAGUAGACCCCUGCCUUUUGGCUGAUCCAUUUGUGGUUUCAAGAACAGCACAAACUGGCCCUAACCAGAACAGAAAGAGGAGUUGGAGGCCCCGGUGCACAAAAAAACCCAGCCGCUUCCAGGCCUGCAGUGACUGAAAAGCAGUCUGGAGCUCUUCAACAGCCUGAACCAGAGAAGGAGCACAUGAAUAUAUGACUGGAUACAUCUGACAACACACCAUAUCCUCUAUUUGUCAUUUCAUCAACGAGUGCAAGCGAAGUGAAGAGGUUUGUCAUGAAGGAACUUGCUAACCUUGAGGCACCUGAGAUUGCUCUGCAAGACCGAGAACGACACUGGGUCCCUGACCCAACCCAGUCCCAGGGAGGAGAGUGUGCGAUCCACCAUAUGGCUCCAUGUGACCACUGGAUGAGGCAAGGCUCCGUAGCUUGUAACCAACACGGAUUGGUUUACCUCUUAUGAAUUGCUUAUAUCCAUGUCGGCCAUAGUAUCAGAUCAUGCUCUCAUUCACUGACAGCCAUUCCUGAAAUGGCAUGACUUUGUAUGACUGACUGAGCUCUGAGAAGAUGGACCAAACCUUUAAAAAAAAUGGGUCGUCAGUGAUCUUUGUGUUGUCAACCACAUGAACUGAGGCCAUUUUAUUUAAAUAAAAGCAAUUUCUCCGCA